AAGUCGUAACAAGGUUUCCGUAGGUGAACCUGCGGAAGGAUCAUUGCAAAACGAGUGAAAGGAUUUGUUGGAAUGUGUGCGAUGAUGACGUUUGACAAGAAUAUUAUUUUUACAUAUACAACUCUCCACAAUGGAUCUCUGGGCUCUU
rnacentral:misc_RNA from 1 species